UACGGGGGGGGCAAGCGUUGUUCGGAAUUACUGGGCGUAAAGCGUGCGCAGGCGGUUUUGUAAGACAGGGGUGAAAUCCCCGGGCUCAACCUGGGAACUGCCUUUGUGACUGCAAGGCUUGAGUGCGGCAGAGGGGGAUGGAAUUCCGCGUGUAGCAGUGAAAUGCGUAGAUAUGCGGAGGAACACCGAUGGCGAAGGCAAUCCCCUGGGCCUGCACUGACGCUCAUGCACGAAAGCGUGGGGAGCAAACAGG
rnacentral:rRNA from 1 species